rnacentral:rRNA from 1 species
CCCUUCGGGGUGAAGCUCGUGGAACGAGCGGCGGACGGGUGAGUAACACGUGGGCAACCUGCCUGUAAGAUCGGAAUAACCCCGGGAAACCGGGGCUAAUGCCGGGUAAUACUUUCUUUCGCAUGAAGGAAAGUUGAAAGAUGGCUUCUCGCUAUCACUUACAGAUGGGCCCGCGGCGCAUUAGCUAGUUGGUGAGGUAACGGCUCACCAAGGCGACGAUGCGUAGCCGACCUGAGAGGGUGAUCGGCCACACUGGGACUGAGACACGGCCCAGACUCCUACGGGAGGCAGCAGUAGGGAAUCUUCCGCAAUGGACGAAAGUCUGACGGAGCAACGCCGCGUGAACGAUGAAGGUCUUCGGAUCGUAAAGUUCUGUUGUUAGGGAAGAACAAGUACCGUGCGAAUAGAGCGGUACCUUGACGGUACCUAACGAGGAAGCCCCGGCUAACUACGUGCCAGCAGCCGCGGUAAUACGUAGGGGGCAAGCGUUGUCCGGAAUUAUUGGGCGUAAAGCGCGCGCAGGCGGUUCCUUAAGUCUGAUGUGAAAGCCCACGGCUCAACCGUGGAGGGUCAUUGGAAACUGGGGAACUUGAGGACAGAAGAGGAGAGUGGAAUUCCACGUGUAGCGGUGAAAUGCGUAGAUAUGUGGAGGAACACCAGUGGCGAAGG